AUGUCAGGCUUUCUUCUUUAUUCACUUGUUUCUAAUAUUUCUAGUGCCAAUAUCUUGAACAAGUCUGCGUUACAAAUCAGGAGCAAGCAUCUGACCUCUCAAAGAAAGAAGCAGAAAUUAAGCAUACAUGGUGCAUCACUUUCUCCGACUGCCUUUCCAACACGCCCAUUUCCCCUCUACACCAGCUACAAAUGAAGACCUGUAAACACAAAAGGCAAUGGUGAAGCCAUGAGUUUUGUCUGGUCAGCUUGAAGCAGGCCCUGUUUGCUUCCUGUAUCUCACUGUGUUCCUGGAACCAUAAUCAGGCCAGGAACCAAUUCCUGCAGGUAGCUGUGUUAGGGGGACAUUUGGUUUGCUGUAAGAAUUUCAAAUGCAGUAUUUCAUGCUACUUCUGUAAAACUUAAAUGCUUUGAUUUUUUGAGAUUAUCAAAAAGAUUUGUUUUGAUCAAAAACGUCAACAUUCUGAAUUGGAAUUUCCAUUCCAUGGGGAAAAACAAAAGUUUCAAGUUUUAAUCACCAGCUUACAAUGAAAAAAAACCUUCAGGUUUCACAACAAAUAAAAAAUAAAAUAAAUAUUAAUCUCA
rnacentral:lncRNA from 1 species